rnacentral:misc_RNA from 1 species
AACGCAUCUUGCGCUCCUUGGUAUUCCAUGGAGCAUGCCUGUUUGAGUGUCACGUAAACCCUCACCCUUGUGAUGUAACAGUCGCACGUGGUGGACUUGGACCGUGCCGUAGUUGGCUCGUCCUGAAAUGCAUUAGCUGGUGCUUUUAGAGUGCUGGGCGACGGUGUGAUAAUUAUCUGCGCCAUUAGCCCUGGGCCUCUUCAGCGGCGCCGCUUACAGUCGUCCCUUUCGGACAACGUGUCUUUAAAGCUUUGGCCUCAAAUCAGGUAGGACUACCCGCUGAACUUAA